UAGGGGGGAGUGAGCAGCACCGGCAGGGCCAGGGGGCUGUGGGUGGUGCAUGAGGGGCCUGGCCCUGCAUCCUGGUGAGCUAAGGGGGCAGGGGGAGCUCUGACAUUCCAUGAUAAAAAACCCAAAAUCAAAUACCAAAAUGUAUAGGUAUUUAAUUUAUUUUACUACAGUGAUUGAGGCACUGGUAAGCUUCCAAACUGCUUUAAAAUUGUAAAUAUAUCAAUAAAACAUUAUGUUCCAUUAAUACCUAUAUAAAUAGUGGAGUUUCAUUUUAAUCACAGAUUUUGGGGAUUUUGUCAGAUAAUUUUUGGGGGGGGGGGGGUAUCAAGAAUUUGCAAUUUUUUUUAUCAGGGAAAACCAGGAUCCCUGCUAAUAAAGGAGGGGACCACGUCUUGAGGAACCUCUAAUUGGGGCAAAUUGAAAGCAAGAGACACACAGAGGGGCCCUUUAAUGGAUAAACAGCUUCAGCACAAACCCUUGUGAUGAAAAUAUGGUAAUGGCUUCCCCUGGGCUGGGCUGUGUUCAGAGGAACUGAUGCCAUCUCAACAGCUUCCAUCAGAACUAGAAAUGGGGAUAAUUGUUAUGUCAGACAGCCAGUGUGGCUGGACCUAGGAAGCUAGGUAAGGUUUACUCCAGAAGAAGGAUUUGCUCAUAGGCAAGGACUCUUAGGAGAUCUCCAGUGACUAUAGAAGAGUUGACUGAAGAGCACCCAGCCAGUCUGGGCAGAGCAGUGUGAAUGGGGCCUGGAGUUCUUGUUGGCUACUUUAGGGAAACCAUCUAGCUGGCUAUUGCCACAUCCUGACAAACUUUGACUUGGAUGCAAGGGGUUUGAUUAAUGACCUCUCUUUUUUCUGCUCUCUCUUUUUAACGUGCCACUUCUGUUCCUGGCCGUUCCGUGGUAUUGAAGGGCAGACUCCACACUACACCUAUGGGCAACAUGAGGUGCUGCUUCCUUCUGAACGAUUUUUCACAGUAAAUUGAACCUGCAGCAGCCUCUACCCUGUCCUCUCUUGGUCCUCUGGUUCAGUGGUGGCACAAGAGGUCAACAGCUCUGCUUGGCAGCCUGCCUCUAAUCAGCCCAUGACAUCUGCUCACUGGGCACUUUCUCCCAAAUGGCCCUUGGGUCAGGAUUCACUUCUGGGUAAGCUAGUGGUUCCUGCUUUGCCUUGCCAUACUCCAUGGAACAGAUGAAGGUUGCUCUUAGAAGAUUUGUAGUUACCACUCUUGGGCUCAGCCCUACAAGUUCAGGGCUGGUCCACACCAGUCCCCUUCAUUCUUUACUUGUGGCUUUUGUCUCUUACGUCCUGCACAGAGUUCUCCGGUUUCCUCUUUACCGCUUGUCCUUCUUAUUGUCAACUGAGCUCAAGCACUAUUUACAGCAGGGCUUUCAUGCUGGGAAAUGCCCCAGCUAUGUGUCAGGCAGCAGGAACAAACCAGAUCACUUUCACUCAUUUUCCUUCAUGCAAGGGAUGCUGUUUGAGGCCAUUACUUCCUGAGGGGGCUGGAAAACAGCAAGGAGAACUAAGCCUGGGAGGGACAAUUGGCUCAGGGCUCGCUUUACUGGCAAUUAAGAGGAGCAGGACCAGAGGCCAGAUGUGAUGUGAAGGGACCUGGAAACUGGGGGCAAAGGACAGUCUGCCAGGUUGGAGCUCAGAAUCCUGUUGGUGCUGCCUGAAUCAUUUAGUCAGGUUGCAAGGCAAAAGAAACAGCUGCAGGAAACAAAGAGAGCUGCCCUGUGUUGCUGUGACAGCGAUUGCUCCCAGGGAAGAGAGAGCGACAGGAGGUCUUUCCUGCGCUGGCAGAGGGAACAAAAAGAAACUAUUUCUACUGCCAGCAUCUCUCUAUUCCUGCUGCUUUCAUGGACAAUGGGUACUCUGGAUCAGAAGGCCUCAUCCUGUGCAGGAAAGUUUUGCCAAGAGCUGGGGCCAUCAACAAAAGAUUCCCCUGAGCUAGCAAUGCUUUUUGGCUCUGUCUGUUACAGCAAACACACCUUGGUGACUGUGCUGUGCAUCCAAGUUAAUUGAAAGCCCUACAGAAGGGACAUAAGCCUACAGUGCCUCUUCCCCUACUGCCUUUGCAAAUGUGAUGAAUGCAGUGGCGAAAUGCAGAGCUGGUUCAAAGAUGCUGGAGGCUGUGUACACCACUGGGGAGUUGGUCUGUUGAAGUGAGCUCAGGGCUGGUCAACAUAAUGUCAUUUUACCCCAGGUUACGAACACGUUAGAUCUGAGGUUUAUCUAGUCCCAUAUCCUGUCUCUGACACUAUUUGAAACCAGAUGCUCAGGGGAAGGUGCGAGAACCCUGCAGUGAACAGAUACACGAUCAUCUGUCCCACAUUAAGGGCUCACUCAAAUCCCUUGGAGACAGAGACUGGCUGAAGUCCUGAAGCAUGAGGUUUAGUGUUUCAUCUGAAGUUGUGGUGGGGUUUUGGCUAUUAAGUAUGACAACUCUGACUCCCCUCGAUCCCAUAUAAAUGAUGAAGUCUUGGCCUCAGCUAAUUACCACGGCAACAUGUGCCACACCACAAUAAUUUCAACACUCUGUGAGAAAAUAUUUCCUCUUGCUGGUAUCAAAUUUCCAACCAUUUUGUGCUGAUUAAAUACAGGAGACCCUCAUCAUUGCGGGGGGAUACAAGAAUGUAUCCCCCGUGAAUGGCGAAAUCCAUGAAUAACGUACUGCGAUCACGAACGCAGUGCCCCCAGCAGCUGGGGUGGGGGACACAGCUCCAGUGGCAGCCUCGGGAGCCUGGCAGCAGCCUCGGGAGCCUGGCAGCAGCAAGCACAGAGCUCUCAAGGAGCUCCAGUGUCAGUUGACCUACAGAACUCAGACAGUUUUUCUCCUGGGCACAAGAUAUCUUUCCAUCUCUCGCCCUCCCCUGGAAUCAGCUGGGGGCUUUUGCUUGGGGUUUUUAAUAGAUUGGAACACAUAGGGAUUAGGAGUUGGAAGUUCUCUGUGGUACUGGUGACUCUGAGAUUUGCUCCCCCUGGUGGUCUGGUUAAACCUGGGUGUGUUGACUCCACCAUAAAAUCUUCCCUGGGAAUUUUGCUCCAGGAUAAAGUACUUGGAGUUUUCUAGCAGAUGAGUCUUUCAUUGCCAAGAAAUAUCACAUAUGCAUAUGUGUUACACUUGUACAGGUACUGUAGUCUGUUCUGGGCUCCCGUUUCAAAUAAAUGCAUGCUGGGUAAUA